AUCUAUGCAUUUAUAUUCCAGGUUUACUCUUGCCACAGGUGGAGUUGAUCUUGGUCUGGCUCGUUGUUCCUUUUUCCUAUGCAUAUACUUCUUUGAGAAUUGGAUCUAAAGAGGCAUAGGGCAUGGGAAAAUGGGGCGACUGAGGUACUUCACCAUUCAUUUCAAACAGCAUUGCCAAGGUGACUGUAGAAACGUAUAAAGAAAACGGAUAUAUGAAGAAAUGAAAGGUAUCUUGGAAGUGGAAGUGUAGAAGUUCUCUUGGCUUUUUUCAUUCAGUAGAAAAACGGUCAUUAAACACAUAUUUUAUGUUUCUGUCCAAUUACUUUUACUCUAAAUAGCAAUGUAUCACAUCAGUUCUGGGGAAUAAAAUAUUAUUAUUAUGAAACAAUGUAACUGUACAUACCGCAUGUCAAAUAAAAGUCUAAUGUUUCAGUGACAGAUCAAAAGUUUGCAUUACCCUGCGUCACAAAUUCUAACAAGUCUUGUAAAGCUAUGUGCUUAGAAAAAGCAAAACUAGGUGCAUUACAAGUCAUUUUACUCAGUGGUUAUUGUUAUGCUAUACUAUUCAAGCCUAAAUGAAUAUUUUAGAAGUUACUGUUUCAUUUACCUGUAACGUAACGGUGUCAGAGGACUAUUCUAUUUAUAUGUCACUUUUUUUCUUAAAUUAAAAUGCAAUAAAAAAUUGCAUCUCCA